GAUGAACGCUAGCGGCAGGCCUAAUACAUGCAAGUCGAACGGUGUCUCCGGACAUAGUGGCGCACGGGUGCGUAACACGUAUGCAACCUACCUUACAUUGGGGGAUGGCCUUUCGAAAGGGAGAUUAAUACCGCAUAAGACAGUAGCUGGGCAUCCAGCAGCUGUUAAAGAUUUAUCGAUGUAAGCUGGGCAUGCGUCCAAUUAGCUAGUUGGUGAGGUAACGGCUCACCAAGGCAAUGAUUGGUAGGGGAACUGAGAGGUCAAUCCCCCACACUGGCACUGAGAUACGGGCCAGACUCCUACGAGAGGCAGCAGUAGGGAAUAUUGGGCAAUGGACGCAAGUCUGACCCAGCCAUGCCGCGUGCAGGAUGAAGGCGUUAUGCGUUGUAAACUGCUUUUAUACAGGAAGAAACGACUCUUGCGAGAGGCAUUGACGGUACUGUAUGAAUAAGCACCGGCUAACUCCGUGCCAGCAGCCGCCGUAACAC
rnacentral:rRNA from 1 species